CUCCUUCAAGGGCUAUUGUCGGUCUUUUUUGUCUGCUCUGUACAUGUAGUAGUUGCUUCAAAGCGUGCAAAUGGAUUCCUCUGACUACAAGCAGCCAGGCACAGAGUUGAUUGCAAGGGUUUUGUGCUGUGUGUGUAAUGAAGACUGCUAUCUCACAAGGAUUCAGCAAUGUCCUGGGUGACUAUUUGCUCAUGCUGCUUUGCCCUGAUUGAGGAAACUGAAUAUUAGUGUAGUAAUCCUGUCCUGUAUGGAUUACUGGUACAAGCCUUCCACCUUCAAGCUGGACUACUAGGCAUCUUGUACAUCACACAAAAUGUAGUGUGGAGAAGCAAUAUCAAGAAACAGAGGGAAUGGACACUAGCUCCAAGACAGCAUGGCCCUAUGCUGAAACCCAGGAGGAGUUUCGACCAAGAUGUCCACCUGUUCCUGCAACAGAAGAGCUUUGUUCACACACUGCUACUUCUCUAACUUCAGACAAUAAAUAUCUGCAAAUAUGCUUA